rnacentral:lncRNA from 1 species
AGAGUAAACAUGUUUACAAUUAGUUUAGUGUAGUGUGCACUGGUUUCACAUUACAUUUGUUCACAUCUAUACACCUUGUUUAGCUACCUGUACAUACGAUUUGUUCUCACUUGUAAACUAUGUGUCAUUUAAAUGUUCAUUACGUAGAACUGAAUUCAAAAUUUUGGGACAAUUUUUCUAGCGGUAAGGGAACAACCAUUUGACUUCAAAAGGGGGAUGGGUAGGGGGGGGGGGUUAGGGGGAAUGGAAAUAUUCCGAUCCCAAAUUUGAUAAAAAAAAAUGAUCAUACAGAUGAUAAAAGAAAUAUUCUGAAUCAAAGAGUUUCCCCAUACAUUAUAGUGUUAAAUAUUGAAAAAAAAUGUAUUUGAUCACCAGCAUCGAAAAAAAAGGAAUAAAAACGUACGCGCGAAAAAAAAAUCUUACUCAGAUAAAAAAAAAUAACCCUCCCCCUUUUUAAGUUAAGUGGUUACUACUUUAUGAAAGCCAUUUUUAUGAUUUGCAGUAGUUUGAAUAUACUAGAGAUGUCUCGAUUACGCACUAGAAAACGUUAGCUGCAGCAGCGUGCUUACAGCCGAAAAAAAGGAUUGAGUUAUUAGGGAUCUCUAAAUUUUUAUCUUUUCUGUUUGUUUCAAAUGGUAUUUCUUCUCCAAGGAGUAUUUGGUAAAAGAAUAGGGUCACGUUUUUUUAAAAUUUAUUUUAAGUGUUAUUUAACGGAUCUGAGAUACUAGACAAACAUAUCAUUUACCCCACACUUUUUUUAGUCAUGCAUUUAUGCGUGAAUCGUUGUUUGAGUAAAGACCAGUGGCAAAUAUUUCUAUGUACGUCAAGUCGAUUCGGGAAGACCUUUUCAAAUGAAUUAGGCAGCAACUAUUUACUUCAUUUUUUAGGGAGGGAAAAGGGGGGGG